GGUUCAUCUUAAUUAUUUCCUCAUACUAAGACCCAUCUUUGACAAUUUGAUUCUACCUUAGAGCAACUGCUAUCAAAACAAGGCAGAUAUAAUUUUCUGCAAUACUUAAAUGAAAAGAACUUGAACAAAUCACCAUUCACUAUACCAUAGCCAAUAGAUAUUUAAAGGAUUCUACUUAAAGUCGAUCAACACAAUCAGCACCUACAUAUUAAAGGAGAGUAUUUAGUGUGAAAAUUUAAAUGUUCCAUACAUACAUGUCUUGUC
rnacentral:misc_RNA from 1 species